AACAAACACCAUCACACCACGGGGGCUUUGCGCAGGAGGGGAAGAGCAAGCAAGAACAAGCUUGUUGGAUGAGAUGAAACACAGAUCUAAGACCUACUCGCCUGCAGCUUCGCCGGAUGUAGCUUCUUUUUCUUCAAUGGGGGGCACGAAGAAGAUGCCCUUACUCAACACUGCAUACAAUGCCGGAGGAAUUUAGUACAUGCAAUGAUUCUGAAUCAUCUAUGUCGUCAACAAGGGGAGCACUGCGGUCGGGCUCAGUCAGCGACCCUUGCAUCGAGAGGAUCAAAAUCUACUGCCAUGAGGAAGAUCCAAGGGUCAGCUCGUUGGUGCAGGUGUUGCAACCGAUUGGCGGCGAUGUGAAAAUCAGCAUCGAGCAUCGCUGACCUAUGUUAAUCAAGACCUAGUUUUGUUUGGGGGACCUGCCACCUUUGGUCAGUGCUAAGUUAAUGUGUUGAGACGAGUGUUUUGGUAACGUCUACGUUAAGGAGAAAAGAGCCGCAGGUCAGGAAGCAGUAGCCAUGUAAGUUAUGGAUCAUGUU